CCUACGGGUGGCAGCAGUCGAGAAUCAUUCACAAUGGGGGAAACCCUGAUGGUGCGACGCCGCGUGGGGGAAUGAAGGUCUUCGGAUUGUAAACCCCUGUCAUGUGGGAGCAAAUUAAAAAGAUAGUACCACAAGAGGAAGAGACGGCUAACUCUGUGCCAGCAGCCGCGGUAAUACAGAGGUCUCAAGCGUUGUUCGGAAUCACUGGGCGUAAGGCGUGCGUAGGCUGUUUCGUAAGUCGUGUGUGAAAGGCGCGUGCUCAACCCGCGGACGGCACAUGAUACUGCGAUACUAGAGUAAUGGAGAGGGAAGCGGAAUUCUCGGUGUAGCAGUGAAAUGCGUAGAUAUCGAGAGGAACACUCGUGGCGAAGGCGGGUUCCUGGACAUUAACUGACGCUGAGGCACGAAGGCCAGGGGAGCGAAAGGGAUUAGAUACCCUUGUAGUC
rnacentral:rRNA from 1 species